rnacentral:rRNA from 1 species
AGUCAAUAGAUACCCUGGUAGUCCACGCCGUAAACGAUGCCGACUCGGUCUCCGUGGGGCAACCGCUCUGGGGGGCCCGGACGCUUACGCGCUAAGUCGGCCGCCUGGGGACGUACGAGCGCAAGCUUAAAACUACAAGGAAAUUGACGGGGGCCCGGCACAAGCAGCGGAGCAUGUGGUUUAAUUCGACGCAACGCGCACAACCUUACCCAGACUUGACAUGGAGCUGCAUACCCGGGAAACCGGGUCGCCUUCGAGGGUGCUCCACAGAUGCUGCAUGGCUGUCGUCAGCUCGUGUCGUGAGAUGUUGGGUUAAAGUCCCGCAACGAGCGCAACCCCCGCGGCCAGUUAUUCGUGUCUGGCCGGACCGCCCUUCGGGUAGGAAGGCGGGGAGUGACGUCAAGUCCGCAUGGCUCUUACGUCUGGGGCGGACACACACGCUACAAUGGCG